GAUGACGAGCAGUAUGUGUGGGAGUCACAAGCUGGUGGUUCAUUCACUAUUACUAGAGACACUUCUGGUGAAAGCCUUGGACGGGGCACCAAGAUGACUCUCUUCCUCAAAGAAGACCAGCUUGAAUACCUUGAGGAGCGCAGGUUGAAGGAUUUGAUCAAGAAGCACUCUGAGUUCAUUAGCUACCCAAUCUCCCUUUGGGUUGAGAAGACCACUGAGAAGGAGAUCUCUGAUGAUGAGGAUGAGGAAGAUAAGAAAGACGAGGAAGGAAAGGUUGAGGAAGUCGAUGAAGAGAAGGAGAAGGCUGAAAAGAAAAAGAAGACAAUCAAAGAAGUGUCUCAUGAGUGGAAUUUGGUGAACAAGCAGAAACCCAUCUGGAUGAGAAAAC
rnacentral:lncRNA from 1 species